rnacentral:rRNA from 1 species
CAAAUUGGGGUCGGAUAAGCCCCCGCGCUGCAGCCGUGGAGAGGGUCAUUGGAAACUGGGGAACUUGAGUGCAGAAGAGGAGAGUGGAAUUCCACGUGUAGCGGUGAAAUGCGUUCAGAUGUGGAGGAACACCACUGGCGAAGGCGACUCUCUGGUCUGUAACUGACGCUGAGGAGCGAAAGCGUGGGGAGCGAACAGGAUUAGAUACCCUGGUAGUCCACGCCGUAAACGAUGAGUGCUAAGGGUUAUGGGGUUUCCGCCCCUUAUUGCUGCGGCUAACGCAUUAAGCACUCCGCCUGGGGAGUACGGUCGCAAGACUGAAACUCAAAGGAAUUGACGGGGGCCCGCACAAGCGGUGGAGCAUGUGGUUUAAUUCGAAGCAACGCGAAGAACCUUACCAGGUCUUGACAUCCUCUGACAAUCCUAGAGAUAGGACGUCCCCUUCGAGGGGCAGAGUGACAGGUGGUGCAUGGUUGUCGUCAGCUCGUGUCGUGAGAUGUUGGGUUAAGUCCCGCAACGAGCGCAACCCUUGAUCUUAGUUGCCAGCAUUCAGUUGCUCACUCUAAGGUGACUGCCGGGGACAAACCGGAGGAAGGUGGGGAUGACAUCCAAUCAUCAUGCCCCUUAUGACCUGAGCUACACACGUGCUACGAUGUACAGAACAAAUGGCAGCGAACCCGCUAGGUUCAUCCCAAUCCCACACAUCUGUUCUCGUUCGGA